AAAAAGAUAAGCUAAAUAAAGCUUUUGGGUUCAUACCCCAACAAUAAAGACCUUCUUUUCUUUUUA
rnacentral:tRNA from 1 species